rnacentral:rRNA from 1 species
CCUACGGGAGGCAGCAGUGAGGAAUAUUGGUCAAUGGACGAGAGUCUGAACCAGCCAAGUAGCGUGAAGGAUGACUGCCCUAUGGGUUGUAAACUUCUUUUAUAAAGGAAUAAAACGAGGCACGUGUGCCUUUUUGCAUGUACUUUAUGCAUAAGGAUAGGCUAACUCCGCGCCAGCAGCCGAGGUAAUACGGAGGAUCCGAGCGUUAUCCGGAUUUAUUGGGUUGAAGGUGAGCGUAGAUGGGUUGUUAAGUCAGUUGUGAAAGUUUGUGGCUCAACCUGAAAAUUGCAAUUGAUACUGGCAGUCUUGAGUACAGUUGAGGUAGGCAGAAUUCGUGGUGUAGCGGUGAAAUGCUUAGAUAUCACGAAGAACCCCGAUUGCGAAGGCAGCUUACUAAACUGUGACUGACAUUGAUGCUCGAAAGUGUGGGUAGCAAACAGGAUUAGAUACCCGAGUAGUC